GACGAACGCUGGCGGCGUGCUUAACACAUGCAAGUCGAACGAAGAGCGAUGGAAGCUUGCUUCUAUCACUCUUAGUGGCGCACGGGUGAGUAACGCGUAAUCAACCUGCCCUUCAGAGGGGGACAACAGUUGGAAACGACUGCUAAUACCGCAUACAAUCCAAUCUCGGCAUCGGGACUGGAUGAAAGGUGGCCUCUAUUUAUAAGCUAUCACUGAAGGAGGGGAUUGCGUCUGAUUAGCUAGUUGGAGGGGUAACGGCCCACCAAGGCGAUGAUCAGUAGCCGGUCUGAGAGGAUGAACGGCCACAUUGGGACUGAGACACGGCCCAGACUCCUACGGGAGGCAGCAGUGGGGAAUCUUCCGCAAUGGACGAAAGUCUGACGGAGCAACGCCGCGUGAGUGAUGACGGCCUUCGGGUUGUAAAGCUCUGUUAAUCGGGACGAAUGGUUCUUGUGCGAAUAGUGCGAGGAUUUGACGGUACCGGAAUAGAAAGCCACGGCUAACUACGUG
rnacentral:rRNA from 1 species